rnacentral:antisense_RNA from 1 species
UGUAGGAGCUGCCGCAGGCUGCGAUCUUUUGAUCUGCUUUUAAAAAACAAAUCAAAAGAUCGCAGCCUGCGGCAGCUCCUACA